UCGGGAAUUUUGGGCAAUGGGCGAAAGCCUGACCCAGCAACGCCGCGUGAAGGAUGAAGUAUUUCGGUAUGUAAACUUCGUAAGAAUAGGAAGAAUAAAUGACGGUACUAUUUGUAAGGUCCGGCUAACUACGUGCCAGCAGCCGCGGUAAUACGUAGGGACCAAGCGUUGUUCGGAUUUACUGGGCGUAAAGGGCGCGUAGGCGGUGUGUCAAGUCAGUUGUGAAAUCUCCGAGCUUAACUCGGAACGGUCAACUGAUACUGUCACACUAGAGUACAGAAGGGGCAAUCGGAAUUCCUAGUGUAGAGGUGAAAUUCGUAGAUAUUAGGAAGAACACCGGUGGCGAAGGCGGCCCACUGGAUCGGUACUGACGCUGAGGUGCGAAAGCGUGGGGAGCAAACAGGAUUAGAUACCCGGGUAGUCCCUGAGCGGGCUGGCAAGGCGCAU
rnacentral:rRNA from 1 species